GGAUGUGAGGGCAAUCUGGCUGUAACAUCUGUCACCCCAUUGAUUGUCAGUGUUGAAUAGGCUGAUCUGGCUGGCCAGCCAAGUGUCCCCUUCCUUCCUCACUGAUCCAUGUGCAUCUGUCCCAAAGCUGAGCUCUAAGUUAAAGAGGAGGACCUUCCAGAAUAGAGGAGAAACUGGUCUUACUGGAGGGUAUAUGCAUAGUUAUGCACCCUGGUAGAAUCUCCAAAAAAGCUCUCAAGCAAUGAAUAAACACUACGUUUUUUCUUAGUCAGUCAAGAUGCAGAAGCUGCACCUCUUUCCUAACAUUCAAGCCACAUAUUU
ensembl:misc_RNA 7SK 7SK RNA